GCUUUAGGGCUAGCCUCAAGUGAUGAUUAUUGGAGGUAGAGCACUGUUUGGACGAGGGGCCCCUCUCGGGUUACCGAAUUCAGACAAACUCCGAAUGCCAAUUAAUUUAACUUGGGAGUCAGAACAUGGGUGAUAAGGUCCGUGUUCGAAAGGGAAACAGCCCAGACCACCAGCUAAGGUCCCAAAAUAUAUGUUAAGUGGAAAAGGAUGUGGCGUUGCCCAGACAACUAGGAUGUUGGCUUAGAAGCAGCCAUCAUUUAAAGAGUGCGUAAUAGCUCACUAGUCGAGUGACACUGCGCCGAAAAUGUACCGGGGCUAAACAUAUUACCGAAGCUGUGGAUUGUCCUUUGGACAAUGGUAGGAGAGCGUUCUAAGGGCGUUGAAGCAUGAUCGUAAGGACAUGUGGAGCGCUUAGAAGUGAGAAUGCCGGUGUGAGUAGCGAAAGACGGGUGAGAAUCCCGUCCACCGAUUGACUAAGGUUUCCAGAGGAAGGCUCGUCCGCUCUGGGUUAGUCGGGUCCUAAGCUGAGGCCGACAGGCGUAGGCGAUGGAUAACAGGUUGAUAUUCCUGUACCACCUAUA
rnacentral:rRNA from 1 species